rnacentral:rRNA from 1 species
UACGUAGGGUGCAAGCGUUGCCCGGAUUUACUGGGCGUAAAGAGCGCGCAGGCGGUCGUUCAAGUCGAGUGUGAAAGCCCCCGGCUCAACUGGGGAGGGUCACUCGAUACUGAUCGACUCGAAGGCAGAAGAGGGAAGCGGAAUUCCCGGUGUAGUGGUGAAAUGCGUAGAUAUCGGGAGGAACACCAGUGGCGAAGGCGGCUUUCUGGUCUGCUCUUGACGCUGAGGCGCGAAAGCUAGGGUAGCAAACGGG